GAAUCUUAGACAAUGGGCGCAAGCCUGAUCUAGCCAUGCCGCGUGAGCGAUGAAGGCCUUAGGGUUGUAAAGCUCUUUCGUGGGGGAAGAUAAUGACUGUACCCCAAGAAGAAGCCCCGGCUAACUCCGUGCCAGCAGCCGCGGUAAUACGGAGGGGGCUAGCGUUGUUCGGAAUUACUGGGCGUAAAGCGCACGUAGGCGGACUGGAAAGUCAGGGGUGAAAUCCCGGGGCUCAACCCCGGAACUGCCUUUGAAACUCCCAGUCUUGAGUUCGAGAGAGGUGAGUGGAAUUCCGAGUGUAGAGGUGAAAUUCGUAGAUAUUCGGAGGAACACCAGUGGCGAAGGCGGCUCACUGGCUCGAUACUGACGCUGAGGUGCGAAAGCGUGGGGAGCAAACAG
rnacentral:rRNA from 1 species